rnacentral:rRNA from 1 species
UGAAGAACGCAGCGCAUUGCGAUAAGUUUUGUGAAGUGCAGAAGUGAAUAUCAAUUUUUGAACGCACAUUGCGCCUUUUCGUAUUCCAAAAGGCAUACCUGUUUGCGCGUUGUUUCUCUAUGAGAUUGCAAGAUUAUUGCUUUCUUGAAAUAUAAAAGUAAUCAAAUAAGUUUCAAACAACUAAUUUUAAUAAAAUGAACCUCAGAUCAGGUAGGACUAGCCGCUGAACUUAAGCAUAUCAAUAAGCGGAGGUAAAGAAACCAACAGGGAUUGCCUUAGUAACGGCGAGUCAAGCGGCAAGAGCUCAAAUUUGAUAUCGGCCUCCAGGUCGAGUUGUAAUUGGCAGAUUGUAUCUUUAGAGGUUGAGUAAAGUCUGUUGGAACACAGCGCCUUAGAGGGUCAGAGCCCCGUAAAGUCAUGUCUAAUUGUAAGAUACUCCCAAAGAGUCGAGUUGUUUGGGACUGCAGCUCUAAGUGGGAGGUAAAUUCCUUCUAAAGCUAAAUAUUGGCGAGAGACCGAUAGCGAACAAGUACAGUGAUGGAAAGAUGAAAAGAACUUUGAAAAGAGAGUGAAAAAGUACCGGAAAUUGUUAAAUGGGAAGGGUACUAAAUCAGACCUGGAGUUGUGUGCUCAGUCAUGUUUCGGCCUGGUAUUCGCACAACUCUUGGCCAAGGUGGGAUAGUUGGGAAGGAACAAGCAUUUGGAACGUGGUCCCUCGGGGUGUUAUAGCCAAGUGUAAUCCUUCCACAGCUUUCUCAGGACUGCGGUUCGUGCUAGGAUCUUGCCGUA